CCCUGGUAGUCCACGCCGUAAACGAUGUCGACUUGGAGGUUGUGCCCUUGAGGCGUGGCUUCCGGAGCUAACGCGUUAAGUCGACCGCCUGGGGAGUACGGCCGCAAGGUUAAAACUCAAAUGAAUUGACGGGGGCCCGCACAAGCGGUGGAGCAUGUGGUUUAAUUCGAUGCAACGCGAAGAACCUUACCUACUCUUGACAUCCAGAGAACUUAGCAGAGAUGCUUUGGUGCCUUCGGGAACUCUGAGACAGGUGCUGCAUGGCUGUCGUCAGCUCGUGUUGUGAAAUGUUGGGUUAAGUCCCGCAACGAGCGCAACCCUUAUCCUUUGUUGCCAGCGGUUAGGCCGGGAACUCAAAGGAGACUGCCAGUGAUAAACUGGAGGAAGGUGGGGAUGACGUCAAGUCAUCAUGGCCCUUACGAGUAGGGCUACACACGUGCUACAAUGGCGCAUACAAAGAGAAGCGACCUCGCGAGAGCAAGCGGACCUCAUAAAGUGCGUCGUAGUCCGGAUUGGAGUCUGCAACUCGACUCCAUGAAGUCGGAAUCGCUAGUAAUCGUGGAUCAGAAUGCCACGGUGAAUACGUUCCCGGGCCUUGUACACACCGCCCGUCACACCAUGGGAGUGGGUUGCAAAAGAAGUAGGUAGCUUAACCUUCGGGAGGGCGCUUACCACUUUGUGAUUCAUGACUGGGGUGAAGUCGUAACAAGGUAACCGUAGGGGAACCUGCGGUUG
rnacentral:rRNA from 1 species